UAUUAAUUGCAAAUUAUAAUACUGGGUACAAGUAUUGGAAUUGAAAAUUAUUGAAACUGUAAAUUAAGUACAAUCAUUUCUGAAUACCAGUAAAUGUAAAUAAAACUCAGUACUUUUUUAGCCUAUUCGACACUUAAUACUAAGCACUUUGAAUCGAUCCUGA